UAUGGCUAUAUCACAUUGAAACACUGGUUCCUGCAUGAUCACUGAAGUUAAACAAUAUGAAGCCUUGUCAGUACCUAGAUGGGUGUCCGCUUAGAAAGACCAGGUGCUGUAAG